CUAGCUGCUGCCCUACAUAACUGAAAAAAUUGAAAAAGAAUAAAGAAAUUACUUUUCAAUUCAAGGUGGCCAACACAAAAGAGUAGAAAGAGUAGUUCUUUGUUGUGUUAUAGCACGGUUUGUGCCACUGAGGGAGCGCUCAAUAAAAAUCCUCAACUAAAAAAAAACAUUUAUAAUAAAGACCUAGCUAGCUUGGGGUAUAUUAUUUAAUAUUUUGUUUCUAUCCGAUUAUAAGAUUCCGGUACUUGAUCAUGGCAAGGGCCAAGAAGAAGAACCCUGUUCGUAUUCAGCGAAAAGAAACUGUCUCUGAUGAUGCGUCCGUAAAGAGCGGAAGAGUGGAGAAGCGUAAGGACGUAAACAAUGGAGACUCUAAGACAAAGGUCUCUUCAGAGGAGCAGGAGGCGAUGGACGCUUUGACCAAGGAACAAAGGGAAAAAGUUAAAAAAGUCGUCAUUGAGCACUGCAAAUCCUGAUCCGUAUACAAGAAGAGAGCUCUUGAGAUCGUAUCUGUCCUCUCUUCUAUUGCCCCUGAGAUUGAGUCUGAAUUCAAUCCUAUUUCACCCCGUCGAGGAGCCUUUGAAAUAUACAUUGUUACGAAAUCAGGAGAGGAUCAUAACAUCUGGUCCGGUCUGAAGAAAGGCCCUCCUCGCAAAAACAAAUUCCCGGAUACUCAAACCUUAUUUAAAAAUAUGAAAUCUCAAUUAUAAAGAAAAAAAUUGUGUGUGUAAAAAUUAGAUUUAGAAUUCAGGAAGUCUAUUUUUCGCUUCUUUAAUUAAUUAGCCUUAUGAAUAUAUUAAUUGUGUAAAUUGACCCUGUUUUUAUGGCUUUCCUUUGGUUUAUUGCAUUGCAUAGAGGUGCUCAUGACGCCGUUUUCUUUUCAAAGUUAUGGAAUUUGGCUGAUGUAUUUUAUCGUAUGCUUUUGCUUUGUACCAAGGAGGUGGAGUCACCCUGGAAAAAGUUCCUAACUUUAUUUGCUCCCUUUUGAGCUUAUACUUAUUUAUAUUUAACUCUGUAGUGUGUAAUUUUAAUAAUAUUUUUUAAAUUAUGAUUUAUAUUUAUAUAUAUAAACAUAUUCCUUUAUUUUGCGUCUAUUUCUCGACUUGUCUGAGGGAGAAAAUAAGCAAUACUCUUGAUCUCUUAUUAUUAUUUAAAAUAUGGACCUCAUUUUUUUUAUACAUUUUUCUAUACGAUCUUACGUGAUCCUAAUUUCAGUAUUGUUUAUGCUCUGUCUCUUCUUUUGUGUCCUUUUUCCUCAUUAUUUGUAAGGAUAGGACUGAAUCAGUACUUAAAUAAACGUAAGGGAAAAUGAUAA
rnacentral:lncRNA from 1 species